rnacentral:rRNA from 1 species
GGGGGGGGGGGGGGGGGGGGGGGGGGGGGGGGGGGCGGGCGGGGGGGGGGGGGGGGGGGGCGCGGGGGUGCGGGGGGCGGGGGAGCCGGCCCUUAGGUUCGGAAUACCUCCCCGAGAGGGGUGCUAAGACCGGAUAAGGUCUUCGGACCAAAGAUUUAUCGCCUUUGGAUGGGCCCGCGUUGGAUUAGCUAGUUGGUAGGGUAAAAGCCUACCAAGGCGACGAUCCAUAGCUGGUCUGAGAGGCUGAUCAGCCACACUGGGACUGAGACACGGCCGGGACUCCUACGGGAGGCAGCAGUGGGGAAUAUUGGACAAUGGGCGAAAGCCUGAUCGAGCAAUGCCGCGUGAGUGAUGAAGGCCUUAGGGUUGUAAAGCUCUUUUACCCGGGAUGAUAAUGACAGUACCGGGAGAAUAAGCUCCGGCUAACUCCGUG